AGAAUUGUAGUUCAAUCGGUCAGAGUACCGCCCUGUCAAGGCGGAAGCUACGGGUUCGAGCCCGUCAAUCCCG
rnacentral:tRNA from 1 species